rnacentral:rRNA from 1 species
AGGAUGAACGCUGGCGGCGUGCCUAAAACAUGCAAGUCAUACGGGCUACCUUCGGGUAGCCAGUGGCAAACGGGUGAGUAACACGUGGGAACGCGCCUCGGGGUGGGGAAUAACGCUGAGAAAUCAGUGCUAAUACCGCAUAUGGUCUAACGACUAAAGCAGCAAUGCGCCCGGAGAGCGGCCCGCGACCGAUUAGCUAGUUGGUGGGGUAAUGGCCUACCAAGGCGGUGAUCGGUAGCUGGUCUGAGAGGAUGGUCAGCCACACUGGGACUGCGAACGGCCCAGACUCCUACGGGAGGCAGCAGUUAGGAAUUUUCGGCAAUGGACGAAAGUCUGACCGAGCGACGCCGCGUGGAGGAUGACGCCUUUCGGGGUGUAAACCACUGUUGCCCGGGACGAACAUCCACUUUCGAGUGGACUGACGGUACCGGGUGAGGAAGCACCGGCUAACUCCGUGCCAGCAGCCGC